rnacentral:lncRNA from 1 species
UCAAAAAAGUAUGUUCUGUGGCUAUCAUCGAUCGGCUGUCAACCUGCUACGAACAACGUCUGCCAUGUUGAGCACUUCAUUGAGAAAUAUUUAAUUGCAUUUUCCCAUUGAAAUGGCUUAAAAUAGGAAUUGAGUGAGUAAAAUCGGUUUCUCAGUUUAUCGGGACCGUGGCGCGUCUAGUGUGGUGCGAUUUGGACCGAUCUAUCAUUGAAAAUUCGAGCAAUGUUUACAUAACGUCAACACCUCAUCAAGCGAGUCAAUGAACUCCCAAUAAUUUGGUAAAAAGCAGGUAUUCCUGCGAUUGGGAAGUUGGAAUCCAUGAGUGCAUCUAUUCGGCGACCUUUCGGAGCUAUUUUAUGGUUCAAGAUCCAGACGUUCUCGCAGCCACCGAGAUAGAAAUAACUUCAGGCAACAUUCGCAUCGAAGCACAAG